ACACGACUACAUUAGAUACCCCUGUAGUCCUAGCCGUAAACGAUACUCGCUAGGUGUCGGCCACGGUGCGACCGUUGUCGGUGCCGUAGGGAAGCCGUGAAGCGAGCCACCUGGGAAGUACGGCCGCAAGGCUGAAACUUAAAGGAAUUGGCGGGGGAGCACAACAACGGGUGGAGCUUGCGGUUCAAUUGGAUUCAACGCCGGACAACUCACCAGGAGCGACGGUUACAUGAAGGCCAGGCUGAUGACCUUGCCUGAUUUUCCG
rnacentral:rRNA from 1 species